UCCCCGUUCUCCUGGGCAGUCCCUUCAGAGUGCCCGGCAUAACCCGAUGGCAACUAGUGACAGGGGUUGCGCUCGUUGCAGGACUUAACCUAACACCUCACGGCACGAGCUGACGACAACCAUGCAGCACCUUGAAAAUUGCCCGAAGGAAGGUCUGUUUCUAAACCGAUCAAUUCCCAUUUAAGCCUUGGUAAGGUUCCUCGCGUAUCAUCGAAUUAAACCACAUAAUCCACCGCUUGUGCGGGCCCCCGUCAAUUCCUUUGAGUUUCAUUCUUGCGAACGUACUCCCCAGGUGGCUAACUUAUCACUUUCGCUUAGUCUCUGAACCCUAAAGCCCAAAAACGAGUUAGCAUCGUUUACGGCGUGGACUAC
rnacentral:misc_RNA from 1 species